GAGUUUGAUCCUGGCUCAGGAUGAACGCUAGCGACAGGCUUAACACAUGCAAGUCGAGGGGCAGCGAGGGUGAUAGCAAUAUUACCUGUCGGCGACCGGCGCACGGGUGCGUAACGCGUAUGCAACCUACCAUCAACAGGGGGAUAACACUGAGAAAUUGGUACUAAUACCCCAUAAUAUCUCAUGCGGCAUCGCAUGGGGUUGAAAACUCCGGUGGUUGAUGAUGGGCAUGCGUUGUAUUAGCUGGUUGGUGAGGUAACGGCUCACCAAGGCGACGAUACAUAGGGGGACUGAGAGGUUAACCCCCCACAUUGGUACUGAGACACGGACCAAACUCCUACGGGAGGCAGCAGUGAGGAAUAUUGGUCAAUGGACGCAAGUCUGAACCAGCCAUGCCGCGUGCAGGAUGACGGCUCUAUGAGUUGUAAACUGCUUUUGUACGAGGGUAAACCCCGAUACGUGUAUCGGGUUGAAAGUAUCGUACGAAUAAGGAUCGGCUAACUCCGUGCCAGCAGCCGCGGUAAUACGGAGGAUCCGAGCGUUAUCCGGAUUUAUUGGGUUUAAAGGGUGCGUAGGCGGUUUGAUAAGUUAGAGGUGAAAUGUCGGGGCUCAACCCCGAAACUGCCUCUAAUACUGUUGGACUAGAGAAUAGUUGCGGUAGGCGGAAUGUAUGGUGUAGCGGUGAAAUGCUUAGAGAUCAUACAGAGCACCGAUUGCGAAGGCAGCUUACCAAACUAUAUCUGACGUUGAGGCACGAAAGCGUGGGUAGCAAACAGGAUUAGAUACCCUGGUAGUCCACGCAGUAAACGAUGAUAACUCGUUGUCGGCGAUACACAGUCGGUGACUAAGCGAAAGCGAUAAGUUAUCCACCUGGGGAGUACGUUCGCAAGAAUGAAACUCAAAGGAAUUGACGG
rnacentral:rRNA from 1 species